rnacentral:RNase_P_RNA from 3 species
CCAGUCGGCCGGACGGCCGCUCUCGCUCGCGAGGGAGGAAAGUCCGGGCUCCACGGAAACACGGUGCCGGAUAACGUCCGGCGGGGGCGACCCCAGGGAAAGCGCCACAGAGAUCGAACCGCCCGGCGCUUCGGCGCGGGGUAAGGGUGAAAAGGUGCGGUAAGAGCGCACCGCGGACCCGGCAACGGGGACGGCACGGCAAGCCCCACCGGGAGCAAAACCGAAUAGGGACGAUGCUUUCCGCGCAAGCGGAGAGGGGCAGGUUUCUGUGCCCUGUCGUCCGGGUUGGUUGCUCGAGGCGCGCAGCGAUGCGCGCCCCAGAGGAAUGGCCGUCACGUCGGGGGAGCGAUCCUCCGGCCAUCCAGAACCCGGCUUACAGGCCGGCUGGCGCC